CAUUAGGUGUCUGAUAAAAGAAUUAAUUUUUUAAAUUAAAUUAUAAUAAUUAAGUUUAUUUCUAAUGA
rnacentral:tRNA from 1 species